GUCAGGCAAAGGCUGACAUUUUUAUGUGGAGAAAAAUCUCCAACUCCCACUUGGAACCAAGGUCAACAAAAGAAAACAAAAAAUAAAGGCAGCAGGGUCAGCCAUGUGACACCAGCCCAGGACACCAGGCUCUCCUGCAGGGUACUAUUUCCCAACAAAUGUGUUAUGGAAACCACAAUGAUGUGUAGAGGUAAUGAGCUGCCUCUCCCACUUUUGGCAACUCAUCAAGCAAACUGCUCUGUUCUCCACCUCCAAUCCCUACGCCUUCCAUCAGUACCUGGGUUAUUUCCACAUCACGGAAUCCUAGAAUGUAAAGGAAUGAAGGAACCUUAAACAUCAUCUAGUCAAACUCUCUCAUUUUUUGGAAGUUUCUUCUCUCGUGUUGAGCCACUUUUUUUCUUCCAGAUUUCUCUCCUUUCUUUCCAUUCUUAUUAAUAAAAUUUUCG